rnacentral:rRNA from 1 species
GAUGAACGCUGGCGGUAUGCUUAACACAUGCAAGUCGAACGGACUCUUCGGAGUUAGUGGCGGACGGGUGAGUAACGCGUGAGAAUCUGGCUUUGGGUUCGGGACAACCACUGGAAACGGUGGCUAAUACCGGAUGUGCCGAGAGGUAAAAGAGAAAUUGCCUGAAGAUGAGCUCGCGUCUGAUUAGCUAGUUGGUGAGGUAAAGGCUCACCAAGGCAGCGAUCAGUAGCUGGUCUGAGAGGAUGACCAGCCACACUGGGACUGAGACACGGCCCAGACUCCUACGGGAGGCAGCAGUGGGGAAUUUUCCGCAAUGGGCGAAAGCCUGACGGAGCAAUACCGCGUAAGGGAAGAAGGCUCUUGGGUUGUAAACCUCUUUUCUUAGGGAAGAACAAAAUGACGGUACCUAAGGAAUCAGCAUCGGCUAACUCCGUG